AAGACUACAAAAUUAUAAUUCCUAAUUUUACAUUGUACUUUUCAUUACCAACUUUGUUGUUUUUUGUCAUUUUAAACGCAAAAUAGCGUUCAGCAUCAUCGACCUCCCACGUGACCUCUGGCCUGGAUUUAAAAUUUUUACCGGUAUGUUCGCGUGCGCGGCGGGUACGGAUUCCUUGGUUCGUACAUUGGUUGGUUAUUUUGUGCUAACACCAGUUUACUGCGCUGCGAUGUCUCGCGUUAUUUAAUUUGGGGUGUAAGCCUGAAAGCUAGGUUUCAGUCGUGAGCCAUGUGGAACACGUCUGCAUCGAAAUGGGAGCCGGGUCCUGCUGCAACUGGGGACAGCAAUACCGACAUGCAGUAAUGAGGAUGGCACCAGUAUAAAGCAACACACUCCAUGCACUAAACAGAAGCUGCUGCCUGCUACAACAAGGUCAUUGUGUGGACUUUGGCUGCUACUACAAGAGUCUGUGCCAAGUACAUCUUGGUCAUCACGGGAGCCCCCAUCUACACCAACAGGAAGGGGCUGGAGCUGAAUUCGCAAGACCACAAA